CCCUACGGGGGGCAGCAGUGAGGAAUAUUGGUCAAUGGUCGGGAGACUGAACCAGCCAAGCCGCGUGAGGGAGGAAGGUACAGAGUAUCGUAAACCUCUUUUGUCAGGGAACAAAGACUGGGACGCGUCCCCGGAUGAGUGUACCUGAAGAAAAAGCAUCGGCUAACUGCGUGCCAGCAGCCGCGGUAAUACGGAGGAUGCGAGCGUUAUCCGGAUUUAUUGGGUUUAAAGGGUGCGCAGGCGGGCUGUUAAGUCGGCGGUCAAAGCCUGGGGCUCAACCCCGGCCCGCCGGUGAAACUGGCAGG
rnacentral:rRNA from 1 species